GAGUUUGAUCCUGGCUCAGGACGAACGCUGGCGGUGUGCCUAAUACAUGCAAGUCGUACGCUUCUUUUUCCACCGGAGCUUGCUCCACCGGAAAAAGAAGAGUGGCGAACGGGUGAGUAACACGUGGGUAACCUGCCCAUCAGAAGGGGAUAACACUUGGAAACAGGUGCUAAUACCGUAUAACAAUCGAAACCGCAUGGUUUUGAUUUGAAAGGCGCUUUCGGGUGUCGCUGAUGGAUGGACCCGCGGUGCAUUAGCUAGUUGGUGAGGUAACGGCUCACCAAGGCCACGAUGCAUAGCCGACCUGAGAGGGUGAUCGGCCACAUUGGGACUGAGACACGGCCCAAACUCCUACGGGAGGCAGCAGUAGGGAAUCUUCGGCAAUGGACGAAAGUCUGACCGAGCAACGCCGCGUGAGUGAAGAAGGUUUUCGGAUCGUAAAACUCUGUUGUUAGAGAAGAACAAGGAUGAGAGUAACUGUUCAUCCCUUGACGGUAUCUAACCAGAAAGCCACGGCUAACUACGUGCCAGCAGCCGCGGUAAUACGUAGGUGGCAAGCGUUGUCCGGAUUUAUUGGGCGUAAAGCGAGCGCAGGCGGUUUCUUAAGUCUGAUGUGAAAUCCCCCGGCUCAACCGGGGAGGGUCAUUGGAAACUGGGAGACUUGAGUGCAGAAGAGGAGAGUGGAAUUCCAUGUGUAGCGGUGAAAUGCGUAGAUAUAUGGAGGAACACCAGUGGCGAAGGCGGCUCUCUGGUCUGUAACUGACGCUGAGGCUCGAAAGCGUGGGGAGCAAACAGGAUUAGAUACCCUGGUAGUCCACGCCGUAAACGAUGAGUGCUAAGUGUUGGAGGGUUUCCGCCCUUCAGUGCUGCAGCUAACGCAUUAAGCACUCCGCCUGGGGAGUACGACCGCAAGGUUGAAACUCAAAGGAAUUGACGGGGGCCCGCACAAGCGGUGGAGCAUGUGGUUUAAUUCGAAGCAACGCGAAGAACCUUACCAGGUCUUGACAUCCUUUGACCACUCUAGAGAUAGAGCUUCCCCUUCGGGGGCAAAGUGACAGGUGGUGCAUGGUUGUCGUCAGCUCGUGUCGUGAGAUGUUGGGUUAAGUCCCGCAACGAGCGCAACCCUUAUUGUUAGUUGCCAUCAUUCAGUUGGGCACUCUAGCAAGACUGCCGGUGACAAACCGGAGGAAGGUGGGGAUGACGUCAAAUCAUCAUGCCCCUUAUGACCUGGGCUACACACGUGCUACAAUGGGAAGUACAACGAGUCGCGAAGUCGCGAGGCUAAGCUAAUCUCUUAAAGCUUCUCUCAGUUCGGAUUGUAGGCUGCAACUCGCCUACAUGAAGCCGGAAUCGCUAGUAAUCGCGGAUCAGCACGCCGCGGUGAAUACGUUCCCGGGCCUUGUACACACCGCCCGUCACACCACGAGAGUUUGUAACACCCGAAGUCGGUGAGGUAACCUUUUGGAGCCAGCCGCCUAAGGUGGGAUAGAUGAUUGGGGUGAAGUCGUAACAAGGUAGCCGUAG
rnacentral:rRNA from 1 species